rnacentral:ncRNA from 1 species
UCUUAUUAUGAGUGGUGGAGGGACUGGCCCUAUGAAGCCCAGCAACCUACUUUUUAAGUGUGGUGCCAAAUCCAACAGAGAAAUCUGAAAAAUAAGA